GACGAACGCUGGCGGCGUGCCUAAUACAUGCAAGUCGAACGAGAGCGACCGGUGCUUGCACUGGUCAAUCUAGUAGCGAACGGGUGAGUAACACGUGGGUAACCUGCCCAUCAGAGGGGGAUAACAUUCGGAAACGGAUGCUAAAACCGCAUAGGUCUUCGAACCGCAUGGUUUGAAGAGGAAAAGAGGCGCAAGCUUCUGCUGAUGGAUGGACCCGCGGUGCAUUAGCUAGUUGGUGAGGUAACGGCUCACCAAGGCCGUGAUGCAUAGCCGACCUGAGAGGGUGAUCGGCCACAUUGGGACUGAGACACGGCCCAAACUCCUACGGGAGGCAGCAGUAGGGAAUCUUCCGCAAUGGACGCAAGUCUGACGGAGCAACGCCGCGUGAGUGAAGAAGGUUUUCGGAUCGUAAAACUCUGUUGUUAGAGAAGAAUAAGUGCUAGAGUAACUGUUAGCGCCUUGACGGUAUCUAACCAGAAAGCCACGGCUAACUACGUG
rnacentral:rRNA from 1 species